CAGUCGCCGCGGGAAAACGUAGGUGGCAAGCGUUGUCCGGAAUUAUUGGGCGUAAAGGGCUCGCAGGCGGUUUCUUAAGUCUGAUGUGAAAGCCCCCGGCUCAACCGGGGAGGGUCAUUGGAAACUGGGAAACUUGAGUGCAGAAGAGGAGAGUGGAAUUCCACGUGUAGCGGUGAAAUGCGUAGAGAUGUGGAGGAACACCAGUGGCGAAGGCGACUCUCUGGUCUGUAACUGACGCUGAGGAGCGAAAGCGUGGGGAGCGAACAGGAUUAGAUACCCCAGUAGUCCCUGUCUCUUAUAU
rnacentral:rRNA from 1 species